UACGGAGGAUCCGAGCGUUAUCCGGAUUUAUUGGGUUUAAAGGGUGCGUAGGCGGAAGAUUAAGUCAGUGGUGAAAGUUUGCAGCUCAACUGUAAAAUUGCCAUUGAAACUGAUUUUCUUGAGUGUAAAUGAGGUAGGCGGAAUGUGUUGUGUAGCGGUGAAAUGCUUAGAUAUAACACAGAACACCAAUUGCGAAGGCAGCUUACUAGAAUACAACUGACGCUGAGGCACGAAAGCGUGGGGAUCAAAC
rnacentral:rRNA from 1 species